UACGGAGGGGGCUAGCGUUGCUCGGAAUUACUGGGCGUAAAGCGUACGUAGGCGGCUUUGUAAGUUAGAGGUGAAAGCCCGGGGCUCAACCCCGGAAUUGCCUUUAAGACUGCAUCGCUUGAACGUCGGAGAGGUGAGUGGAAUUCCGAGUGUAGAGGUGAAAUUCGUAGAUAUUCGGAAGAACACCAGUGGCGAAGGCGACUCACUGGACACGUAUUGACGCUGAGGUGCGAAAGCGUGGGGAGCAAACAGG
rnacentral:rRNA from 1 species